rnacentral:rRNA from 1 species
AGAGUUUGAUCCUGGCUCAGGACGAACGCUGGCGGCGCGCCUAAUGCAUGCAAGUCGAACGGUCUUUCCCGCAAGGGGAGGACAGUGGCGAACGGCUGAGUAACGUGUAAGCAACCUACCCCUGGGUGGGGAAUAACUUGCCGAAAGGCGGGCUAAUACCGCAUAUGCUGUCGUGCCGCAGGGGACGAUAGCAAAGGCAUCUCGCAAGAGGUGUUGCCCGGGGAUGGGCUUGCGUCCUAUCAGGUAGUUGGUAGGGUAACGGCCCACCAAGCCGACGACGGGUAGCUGGUCUGAGAGGACGGCCAGCCAGAGGGGGACUGAGACAUGGCCCCCACUCCUACGGGAGGCAGCAGCAGGGAAUCUUGCGCAAUGGGCGAAAGCCUGACGCAGCGACGCCGCGUGGGGGAAGAAGGCCUUCGGGUUGUAAACCCCUUUUCUGGGGGAAGAGUAAGGACGGUACCCCAGGAAUAAGCCUCGGCUAACUACGUGCCAGCAGCCGCGGUAAUACGUAGGAGGCUAGCGUUGUUCGGAUUUACUGGGCGUAAAGGGCGUGUAGGCGGCUUGGAAAGUCCCUUGUGAAAUCUCCCGGCUCAACCGGGAGCGGUCGAGGGAUACUUCCAGGCUAGAGGGCAGUAGAGGAGAGCGGAAUUCCCGGUGUAGUGGUGAAAUGCGUAGAUAUCGGGAGGAACACCCGUGGCGAAAGCGGCUCUCUGGGCUGUACCUGACGCUGAGGCGCGAAAGCGUGGGUAGCAAACCGGAUUAGAUACCCGGGUAGUCCACGCCCUAAACAAUGGAUGCCAGGUAUGGGGGGUAUCGACCCCCCCUGUGCCGAAGCUAACGCGUUAAGCAUCCCGCCUGGGGACUACGGCCGCAAGGCUAAAACUCAAAGGAAUUGACGGGGGCCCGCACAAGCAGCGGAGCGUGUGGUUUAAUUCGAUGCUAAGCGAAGAACCUUACCAGGGAUUGACAUGCUCGUGGUACCGAACUGAAAAGAGAGGGACCCUUCGGGGAGCGAGCACAGGUGCUGCAUGGCUGUCGUCAGCUCGUGCCGUGAGGUGUUGGGUUAAGUCCCCCAACGAGCGCAACCCUCGUGGCUAGUUGCACUAUCUAGCCAGACCGCCCCACAAAAAGGGGAGGAAGGUGGGGAUGACGUCAAGUCAGCACGGCUCUUACACUCUGGGCUACACACACGCUACAAUGGCCGGGACAACGGGUCGCGAAAGCGCAAGCUGGAGCCAAUCCCUAAAAGCCGGCCUCAGUUGGGAUCGCAGGCUGCAACCCGCCUGCAUGAACGUGGAGUUGCUAGUAACCGCAGGUCAGCAUACUGCGGUGAAUACGUUCCCGGGCCUUGUACACACCGCCCGUCACGUCAUGGGAGUUGGAAACACCUGAAGUCCGUGGGCUAACCCGCAAGGGAGGCAGCGGCCGAGGGUGGAGCCAAUGACUGGGACGAAGUCGUAACAAGGUA